rnacentral:misc_RNA from 1 species
CGGCGCACCCCUCCCCCCAACUCCGCUCUACUUUCGAUCGGUCCAACCCACCGAUGACGGGCUUCAACGGCGCAUCCCAGACGAACGGCGGCAAGGACCAGAGACGACGUCCGGCGGAGUUUUUGCAACGAGCGACGACGUCCGACACAGAUCUGAAGUAGACUCGCGAUUUUGACGAUCCACAACAGCCGCCGCCGACCCAGCAGCCACCAACGAGCGACGAAGACAAUGGAAAGCCGAAGCAGGUGCAACCUCGACGCGAAACCACACGUUUCGUUGAGUUUUCAGCAGUGUUUUCCCUCAUAUGGAUUCGAGGCGUUCAGACACCAAGCAAUGAAAUUUUG